rnacentral:lncRNA from 1 species
UCCCCACGACACUUACGGGGUCCUUACGGGGUCCUUACGGGGCCGUUACAGGGUCCUUACGGGGCCGUUAGGGGGUCGUUACGGGGUCCUUAUGGGGUCGUUAUGGGGUCCUUAUGGAGUAGUUAUGGGGUCCUUACGGGGUCUUUAUGGGGUCAUUACGGGGCUGUUACAGGGUCCUUACAGGGUCCUUAUGGGGUCCUUACGGGUUCCUUAUGGGGCCGUUACGGGGUCCUUACGGGGUUGUUGUGGGGUCGUUACGGGGUCCUUACGGGGUCCUUAUAGGGUCCUUCCGGGGUCCUUAUGGGGUCCUUACGGGGUCGUUACGGGGUCCUUACAGGGUCGUUACAGCUUCCUUAUGGGGCUGUUACGGGGUCGUUAUUGGGUCCUUAGGGGGUCGUUAUGGGGUCCUUACGGGGUUGUUUUGGGGUCCUUACAGGGUCCUUAUGGGUUCGUUAUGACUUCCUUAUGGGGUCGUUAUGGGGUCGUUAUGGCUUCCUUAUGGGGUGCCUCCGGGUUGCUUAUGGGGUCAUUAGGGGGUUGUUAUGGGGUCCUUACGGGGCCGUUACGGGGUCCUUAUGGAGUAGUUACGGGGUCCUUACGGGGUUGUUACAGCUUCCUUAUGGGGCUGUUAUGGGGUCGUUAUGGGGUCCCUACGGGGCCCUUAUGGGGCCCUUACAGGGUCCUUAGGGGGUCGUUAUGGUUUCCUUACGGGGUCCUUAUGGGGUCCUUAUGGGGUCCUUACGGGGUUGUUUUGGGGUCCUUAUGGGGUCCUUAUGGGGUCGUUAUGGGGCCGUUACGGGGUCCUUACGGGGUCCUUACGGGGUCCUUAUGGGGUCAUUACGGGGUCCUUACGGGUUCCUUAUGGGGUUGUUACGGGGUCCUUACGGGGUCCUUUUGGGGUCCUUACAGGGUCCUUAUGGGGUUGUUAUGGGGUUGUUAUGGGGCCGUUACGGGGUCCUUAUGGGGUUGUUACGGGGUCCUUACCGGGUCCUUAUAGGGUCCUUAUGGGGUCCUUACGGGGUCCUUAUAGGGUCAUUACGGGGUCCUUAUGGGAUCAUUACGGCUUCCUUAUGGGGUCCUUAUGGGGUCAUUACAGGGUCCUUUUGGGGUCCUUACGGGUUCCUUAUGGGGUUGUUACCGGGUCAUUAUGGGGUCCUUACGGGGCCGUUUCGGGGUCCUUACGGGGCCGUUCCGGGGCCCUUACGGGGCCGUCCCGGGCUCCUUCCAGGCUCGACGGCGCAGCGGGUGUGCCUGGCGGGGGACAGCGCCGGGGGCAACCUGUGCCUGACGGUGGCGCUGCGGGCGGCGGCGGUGGGGGUGCAGCCCCCCGCCGGGGUG